rnacentral:rRNA from 1 species
UACGUAGGGGGCAAGCGUUGUCCGGAAUCAUUGGGCGUAAAGAGCGUGUAGGCGGCCCGAUAAGUCCGCUGUGAAAGUCCAGGGCUCAACCCUGGGAUGCCGGUGGAUACUGUCGGGCUCGAGUCCGGAAGAGGAGUGUGGAAUUCCUGGUGUAGCGGUGAAAUGCGCAGAUAUCAGGAGGAACACCGGUGGCGAAGGCGGGACUCUGGGCCGAUACUGACGCUGGAGGAGCGAAAGCGUGGGGAGCAAACAGGG